rnacentral:lncRNA from 1 species
GCUUGCUCUGACUUGCCCCUUCCUUCCUGUGUCUUCUCUGGGCUGACUGCUCCCUGAUAUUUAGGUCCCAGCUCCGAGUCUGCUAAUCCAAGCUGCCUGACCAGGCGAGGUCACAUCAUUUCAUCACUUCUUUCCUUCAUAGCUGUUGUCGCUAAUGGAAAUGACCUUGUGUAUAUAUUUAUUUAAGAGCCUGUUUGCUAUCUCCCUUCCCCAGACUGUGGGUGCUGGCUCUGCCUUACUCAACGCCAACAGUGUCUGGCCUGGGAUCCUUUUGCUUUCCCAUCCUCUUGGAUCUAUCAUUUAAUGACUUUGCCACCUGUUGGACUUCUAGGCAUCUUGGAAACUUAAAGGCAAGUCAAUUUGGUUCAACCUGUAUGGAUGGUAACCUGGAUAUUUAUCUUUAAAAAUGACCUAUAAAAAUACUCUGACUUAGUAAUUCCCCAUGUAGGGAUUUAUCUUCCAAAUACACUGCACAUAUGUGAGCUAUGGAUAAACAAGGUUAUUCACUGUACACAUGGAUAACAACCCCACCUGGAAUCCACCUGUAGGCCUAUUCACUGGGGACUGACUGACUGAAUUGUAAUCCAGCUGUAGUGGAAAAUAUUAUGAAGCUGUAAAAAUAAACGAGCAAGGUUCUUCCUCAAGCUGAGUGGGGAUGUUUUUAUUCUGUUAUGUUCACUCUUAUGUUACAUUCUUUUGCCUCAGUGAGAUAUUUAAUAAAGUUAAGUUUACAAAGCAAGUGAAACAGUGCGUUUUAAAAGAGAAAAAUAUAUAUUUGCUUGUAUUUGUACAGGAUAUCUAAAAGAAUAUGCACUAUCCAAGAGAAGCUGGUAAUAUUGGUUGCCUCUGGAGUGGAGAACCAGGUGGCUGGGGUUGUUGGGGAGGGAGGGAAACUUCAUUGUACACCCUUUUUUGGUUUUAAGAGUUGUGAUCUCUGUGAAUAUGUCACUUGUUAGAAACAGAUUUAAAAUAAAAAAAAAAAAAACCUACGCUUUCCAUCACUUACACAUGUAUCCAUAUAACUUUUUUUUUUUUUUUAAAAACACAACUUUUAACAGCUAUAGCUUCAGGUGCUCUCUAUUGUGAAAGUUGCUUUGAGCCACAGUGGGAAAAGUCAG